rnacentral:lncRNA from 1 species
AACAAAUGAUUAAUUUUAAAGUUUGUUUGGGAAGAGCGAGCAAGCGGGGGGGGCAGAGAGGGAGAGAAAAUGCCAACCAGACUUAGCACUGUCAGCGCAGAGCCCAACGCAGGGCUCUAAGCGUAAACGGUGAGAUAUGACCUGAGCAGAAAUCAAGAGUUGGAUGCUCAAGGACUGAGCCACCCGGGGGCCCCAGAACAAAAUGAUUAUUUUUAAGAAUCUUAAUCUUUUCCCUAGAAAUGGUGCUGGGCACGAAUGCAAAGUGGCUUUUGAUGGCUUCUGAUGGGCAGGUAAGAAACGGGUUAAUACAGUGGAAAGGAAUCAGAUCUCCUUGGAGGUGGGGUCUUUUGUUAAGCCUGUGAUGGUUUAAGAGUAGUGGACAGAAGGGAUUUCUGAAAAAUCCUAUUCUGAGGCUUAACCAUACCUAAAACCUUGAUAGUUACUUUGGCUGCGCAGUAUGUUUAAUCGGAUGCUCUUUGAUUUCUAGUUCUGUGCCAAAGGGGUGAAAACGGCUGCAAAGGUAAGUUACCGAAAUUCCCUCACCAAGGGAAGUUAGGUUGAAAGUCCACUAAAUGUGCUACAAUGAUGACAUUAUAUUUGCUACUCUUGACUGUGAGAAUGACGAGAGUUACUACCACCAUUACACUUAACUGAGGCACACAAAAGGUGAUUUAGAGAACUUGGAGAUUGACACUACUUUUACAUGAAGCUGUUUCUUCCUAGGUCCUAAAGUUCAAGUUGCACAUGCUACCCAUGGGCAAACAGGUGAGGAACCUUUUAGAUAGUCCGUGUUUACCCAGUCCUUUUCAAUUCUUUUUUUACAUCUGAAUGCCUACACUCUGGUAUUCUGUAUGAAAUGCUUACAACCUGAAACAGAUACUAUGAUGGUUGCAUAGUUCAGCAGAUUGGAUCAUGAAGAGGAUAGUUAUCUAUCUGAUGUAUCGAAGUUGAUAGGAAAAUUGGUUUGCUGUUAAUAGCAUAAGCAAAAUGUCAUUAACCUAGUUUCCUUCCUUCCUUUUUUGUAGGCGCUAAAGGGAGUUGGCUGGAAAUUGAGGAGGUGAGCAGAAUUGUAAUGGAGCUAAAUGUUGGUAACAGGGCAAACAUCACAGUACAGCUAAUGGCUGUUUAGAGUUGCCUUAUGCACAGGAAGCACUCCUGCCACCAAGUGCUUGAAUGCGUUGCUGAAUGCAGUAAACACAUGCCAGACCCUUGUCCUGUUACCAUUGGUUAGGACACUCAUGAUUUGUAAAAAGCAGCCUGGAUGAUGAUAAGCAAAUACUGACUGAACAUGAAGGUCUUAAUUAGCUCUACCUGAUUUCAGGCAUUUUUGACGUUGUGGGGAGAAAAUUCAUCUUUUGCCUCUUGUGAAACUGUCUUUAUUUCUUAGGUGGACUUGAGUCUCAGUCAUGUUUGGAGCAACAAUUUAUUUUGGUAAGUAUUAAGCAUUUUAGUAAGCUCAAAACUUAACUGAGUGCUGAUGAAAUAGAAUGCUUAACUACCAAGUUAACUAGUUUACUGUGGCUACUUAGUGGGUGCAUGUUGAGCAUGCUGUGAAUGGGGUUUUUGAAAUGAUGUUGACCAAAUGUCUGACCUGAAGUGAGCAUGUAGACAAAUUUAACACUGAAGAACCCUGUGACAAAUAACUCUGAGAAGAAUUCGGUGAUAAUUAACAUUUUAACGAAGUGUCUUGUUUUUUUCUAGGUUACUGGCCACUAUCCUGGAUGGCUUGCUUGGGGUAAGACAAAACAGUUCUUUGGUUGCUGAACUCAAGUUCGUGUGUGGCCGAAAUGUGCUAUAAUGUGUUAAGUGUGUUCUGGUGUUUCAGGGAAGAUUCAGCCAUUGUGAAGUGCAUUUAAAUUUUUUUUUUUUUUUUUUUUGGUCAGGUGCUGAUUUUGAAGAACUUUUUAUAUAAAGGUAUGUAUUCUCUAAACCUUUUUUGGUUAACAAGCAAGAUACUGUUAGUGAUGAUUUUUGAAAUUAAAAACAGAUGGGAAUCUCUCUGAAAAAGAGUGAAGAUUUCUUAAACGCUGAAACAGUAUUUGGAAAAGUUGAGAAAUCCACUUGUUACUACCUGUUAACUAAAUUUGACUAAAUUUUCUGCAGGUGUGAAGAGUUAGUGGCUCACGAGGCCCGGAAUGAGGAGUUUUAAGCCAAGGUAUAGUCGUUUCAAGUUGGGUGUCUAUAUGAAGUGGUUUAAAGCCGAUACAGUGAUGAGAACAUAGUUCAGCAGACUUGACAGUGAUGAGCAACAUUGUCUUUCGCUCCUAUCUGACGUAUCUGGCUGCAGCAACCCUAUCCAUACCCUUGAAAACGAGCCAUUUAUUCUACCACAGGAAACGUUCAGGGUUGGGGUAACUAGUGGCUUAUAUACAAAUGUUUUUUUUAGUUUAUUUUGAGGGGUCGGGGAGGAGCAGAGAGGGAGACAGAAUCCACUCUGUGCAGAGUCCAGUGCAGGGCUCCAUCUCCCUGACUUCAUGACCUGAGUCGGACAUUUAACUGAGCCAACCAGGCACCCCAAAUGUUUCAAUUUUACGAUUUCACAUUUUGAGGAGCACAGGUAAAGUUUUUGCCAGGAAAUUGUAAUCUUUUUUUUAAUAAGCUUCAUGUUUUAAAGCAGUUUCAAUAUUGACAACAAAAUUGAACGUAGGAUCCCAUACAUCUGGUCUUCACACCUUCCUCAACAUUCAGCACUAGAGUGAGACUUUGGCUACAAUUAUGAACAUACAAUGAGACCAUUAUCGCCCAAGUCCACAGCUUACAUUAAGGUUCAUUCGUGUUACACGUAUGGGCUUGGACAAUGUGAUACAUCCACCAUUGUGUGUAGAAUAGGUUUGCU